UACGUAGGGUGCGAGCGUUGUCCGGAAUUAUUGGGCGUAAAGGGCUCGUAGGCGGUUUGUCGCGUCGGGAGUGAAAACCAGGUGCUUAACACCUGGCUUGCUUUCGAUACGGGCAGACUAGAGGUAUUCAGGGGAGAACGGAAUUCCUGGUGUAGCGGUGAAAUGCGCAGAUAUCAGGAGGAACACCGGUGGCGAAGGCGGUUCUCUGGGACGGUACUGACGCUGAGACGCGAAAGCGUGGGGAGCGAACAGG
rnacentral:rRNA from 1 species